rnacentral:rRNA from 1 species
AUGCACGCUGGCGGCGUGCCUAAUACAUGCAAGUCGAACGCAUAGCGAAAGGUGCUUGCACCUUUCAAGUGAGUGGCGAACGGGUGAGUAACACGUGGACAACCUGCCUCAAGGCUGGGGAUAACAUUUGGAAACAGAUGCUAAUACCGAAUAAAACUUAGUGUCGCAUGACACAAAGUUAAAAGGCGCUUCGGCGUCACCUAGAGAUGGAUCCGCGGUGCAUUAGUUAGUUGGUGGGGUAAAGGCCUACCAAGACAAUGAUGCAUAGCCGAGUUGAGAGACUGAUCGGCCACAUUGGGACUGAGACACGGCCCAAACUCCUACGGGAGGCUGCAGUAGGGAAUCUUCCACAAUGGGCGAAAGCCUGAUGGAGCAACGCCGCGUGUGUGAUGAAGGCUUUCGGGUCGUAAAGCACUGUUGUAUGGGAAGAACAGCUAGAAUAGGAAAUGAUUUUAGUUUGACGGUACCAUACCAGAAAGGGACGGCUAAAUACGUG